CACGAUAAAGGCAAACUCUGAGUAAUCGGGGGGCGCAAAGUAACGGGUCUUUUAAACACACAGGGAUGUAGUUUAAGACGAUACCUUAUCCUUUAGUGAAAAAGAUAGCCUUACUGCCGAAG
rnacentral:ncRNA from 1 species